UACAGAGGGGGCAAGCGUUAUUCGGAAUUAUUGGGCGUAAAGGGCUCGUAGGCGGCCAACUAAGUCAGACGUGAAAUCCCUCGGCUUAACCGGGGAACUGCGUCUGAUACUGGAUGGCUUGAGUUCGGGAGAGGGAUGCGGAAUUCCAGGUGUAGCGGUGAAAUGCGUAGAUAUCUGGAGGAACACCGGUGGCGAAGGCGGCAUCCUGGACCAACACUGACGCUGAGGAGCGAAAGCCAGGGGAGCAAACGGG
rnacentral:rRNA from 1 species